ensembl:lncRNA
AUGAGACAGAAGAGUCCACCGGUCACUUAUCUAAGCAAAGCACAUUGGGAGCCAUUAGAACUUGCGCCACCCGGCAGACUGUCCUGAACCAGAGAGGAGAAAUCAAGGCCGCCUCACCAUAUGAGACUCAGGGGCUCUUCCUGACUCAGGGAUCGAUUCUGGAUCUUCCCACGUUGUAGGUGGAUUCUUUACCGCCUGAGCCACCAGCACUUCCUAUGUGCACAGCCAGCAGCAGAAUUCCAGUGUAUGUGCAGGUAAGAGACAGCCUUCACCAAUGUGACACCCACUGGAGACUUUGAUUGGGA